UCUUCCCUUCCUGCAUGGCCCAGCCUGCCAUAGUCCCUAAACAGGGCUAGAACGCAAAGAUGCAAGAUCCGGACGGGUUUUUCUCCUCUCAACAAUUCUGCAAUCAGGCUAUUUUCAGCCUCCUCUCCUUUCUCCCCAGUCCUUUGUUUUCUGGUUUCUAAUUACCCGCUUGAGGUCCUUGACAAAUCAGUUUCUGUCUCUUCUGCUGCAGAGUCUCACUUAUAAAACGGAACCGCCUUGAACUGUGGCCCCUGUCCCUCUGGCAGUGAGUGCCCAGCCCACCCCGCCUGAGAUUCUCCCUGUGCCCUGCACAAAAGAGUGCUGAAGGGCCAGGUGCAGACUCUGUUCCCGAGGGAAUCAGAACGUUACUGCCAUCAAGGUCGACAGCCCAACUCAGUGCUGAGUCUCUCUGCCUGUGGUGGUGACAACCCCCAGACCUUGAAGCAGAUCAAAGGGAAGGGUGCAGGCAGGUGAAGAGACAGAGCUCUGGAGAUCAGGCCCAAGCGUGGGUUUGGGGGAGCUGAGGUUCUGGCCAAACAGGACCUCAGCUAUGAGGAUGGUUGGACUCCCUUGUCUCCAUGCCAGCAAUGCUUUCCCAGGUGAGACCUGUGCACCAAAGACCACCAGUGUUUCCAAAUCCUUCUGUUUCUACCCCUUCAGGUGUAAACAUUCUACUCCCUAUAACAAGUCACACAGUAUCAUUCUAGGUAACGAAACGAGGGGUCAAGGUGUAUUAGAACCGUCUAUGGGUUCGAAUCGCAGCGCCCAGCAUGGAACCAUGCCUACUGGACUGCCUCUCCCGAGAAGACUUGCUCGUCAGUUCCCAGCAUCCUUGUGGAGUGGCUAACAAGCCCUUGUAACCUCAGCUCCAAAGGAGUCAAUAUCACGGGUCUCUGUAGCUCACAGUGCUUAAUGAAUAUUAACUCAAGAAUCAGCGCUACAGGAAAGCUGAGGAGAGAAGCUGGCAAAUAUUAAUAUACUGCUCUCAGGACAGAAGGUCUGGAGUCUGCCUGGAAAAUCUACGGAGCAUCUGACACUUGCAUGCCGAUGUAUUAUCAGAGUGCAUUGUGGAAUUUGUUUGAUGUGUAUGUGACUGGUCAUUUGCUCCUGGGCAUCUUUUCAGUUGAGAAAAAAAGAACUGAUAACAACACAGUAUAUUGUUGAACUGAAAAGUAAACCAAAUUGCAAACAGUAUAGGCCGUCCUUUUGGGAGGCAAAACCAAAAAUAAAACACAAACGUUUGUUUCUUCA